rnacentral:rRNA from 1 species
GAAUACCCUUGGAAACCCGGUUUUAAACCCGAUACAAAAAAAAAACCCCCAUUUUUUAAUUAAAAGGCUUCUUCGGGUUCCAUAAAAAAGGCCCCCCGGGUCCUUUAAUUUUGGUGGGAGGAAACGCUCCACCAAAGGCCCAGGAUACUUCGCCCCCCUGGAGGGGUUUUUCGCCCCCUUGGGGAUUGGGCCCCGCCCCAAAUUUCUUGGGGGGGGCCACCGUGAGGUAUUUUUGGCCAAUGGAAAAAAUUUCGAACCCAACAACCCCCGCUUGAUGAAAAAAGUUUUCGGAUUGUAAAAUUUUGUUUUUAAAAAAGAACAAGGAUGAGGGUAACUGUUCAUCCCUUGACGGUAUCUAACCAGAAAGCCAGGGCUAAUUACGUGCCAGCAGCCGCGGUAAUACGUAGGUGGCAAGCGUUGUCCGGAUUUAUUGGGCGUAAAGCGAGCGCAGGCGGUUUCUUAAGUCUGAUGUGAAAGCCCCCGGCUCAACCGGGGAGGGUCAUUGGAAACUGGGAGACUUGAGUGCAGAAGAGGAGAGUGGAAUUCCAUGUGUAGCGGUGAAAUGCGUAGAUAUAUGGAGGAACACCAGUGGCGAAGGCGGCUCUCUGGUCUGUAACUGACGCUGAGGCUCGAAAGCGUGGGGAGCAAACAGGAUUAGAUACCCUGGUAGUCCACGCCGUAAACGAUGAGUGCUAAGUGUUGGAGGGUUUCCGCCCUUCAGUGCUGCAGCUAACGCAUUAAGCACUCCGCCUGGGGAGUACGACCGCAAGGUUGAAACUCAAAGGAAUUGACGGGGGCCCGCACAAGCGGUGGAGCAUGUGGUUUAAUUCGAAGCAACGCGAAGAACCUUACCAGGUCUUGACAUCCUUUGACCACUCUAGAGAUAGAGCUUCCCCUUCGGGGGCAAAGUGACAGGUGGUGCAUGGUGGUCGUCAGCUCGUGUCGUGAGAUGUUGGGUUAAGUCCCGCAACGAGCGCAACCCUUAUUGUUAGUUGCCAUCAUUCAGUUGGGCACUCUAGCAAGACUGCCGGUGACAAACCGGAGGAAGGUGGGGAUGACGUCAAAUCAUCAUGCCCCUUAUGACCUGGGCUACACACGUGCUACAAUGGGAAGUACAACGAGUCGCGAAGUCGCGAGGCUAAGCUAAUCUCUUAAAGCUUCUCUCAGUUCGGAUUGCAGGCUGCAACUCGCCUGCAUGAAGCCGGAAUCGCUAGUAAUCGCGGAUCAGCACGCCGCGGUGAAUACGUUCCCGGGCCUUGUACACACCGCCCGUCACACCACGAGAGUUUGUAACACCCGAAGUCGGUGAGGUAACCUUUGGAGCCAGCCGCCUAAGGUGGAUGAAGUUGA